GCACCAGUGGCUAAGUGGUAGAAUAGUACCCUGCCACGAAAUAGACCCGGGUUUGAUUCCCGGGUGGUGCA
rfam:Ipomoea nil DNA, scaffold: scaffold3100, cultivar: Tokyo-kokei standard.